CAAUGUUAUUGCUUAAGAAACAGAUUCCUUCCAACUAACUAUUUACGAAAAAUGCAAUCAAUAAUUGCAUUUCGAAUUCCUGUUUUCAGCUAUAAAAUAGGCUAUAUAGGGACAUUUUAAAAGUAUAACAAAGAUGGAGGCCUAUUAUGUACAUACUAUUUUAAAAUGGAAGAGGGGUUUUGCUUUAUAUAAUUAAUAAAAUAACACAGACCCUAACGCUACACUGAGCAAAAAAUGCAGAUUACCAACCAAAACAACUUAAUUAUAUGAAGGCCUUCAGCCAACUCCCAACUACAGAACACUCAGACAUAUUUAUAUUAUGUGUUUUAAUUUGGUUGGAGAUUUCAAGUCUUAUGAUUUUACCCAUUAGACUAAGUCUUACAGACAUAUUUAUAUUAUGCCUAUGUGUUUUAAUUUGGUUGGAGAUUUCAAGUCUUAUGAUUUUACCCAUUAGACUAUACUCCUACUCAUUUAUUAACCUAGCUUACAAAAUG
rnacentral:lncRNA from 1 species